rnacentral:rRNA from 1 species
UACGUAGGUGGCAAGCGUUAGGCGGAAUCACUGGGCUUAAAGCGUGUGUAGGCGGAUCGUUAAGUACCUUGUGAAAUCCCACGGCUCAACCGUGGAACUGCUGGGUAUACUGGCGGUCUUGAGCCACCUAGGGGCGAGCGGAACAAACGGUGGAGCGGUGAAAUGCGUAGAUAUCGUUUGGAACGCCAACGGUGAAAACAGCUCGCUGGGGGUGUGCUGACGCUGAGACACGAAAGCCAGGGGAGCGAACGGG